CUCAGGAUGAACGCCGGCGGUGUGCCUAAUACAUGCAAGUCGAACGCGUUGGCCCAAUUGAUUGAUGGUGCUUGCACCUGAUUGAUUUUGGUCGCCAACGAGUGGCGGACGGGUGAGUAACACGUAGGUAACCUGCCCAGAAGCGGGGGACAACAUUUGGAAACAGAUGCUAAUACCGCAUAACAACGAUGUUCGCAUGAACAACGCUUAAAAGAUGGCUUCUCGCUAUCACUUCUGGAUGGACCUGCGGUGCAUUAGCUUGUUGGUGGGGUAACGGCCUACCAAGGCGAUGAUGCAUAGCCGAGUUGAGAGACUGAUCGGCCACAAUGGGACUGAGACACGGCCCAUACUCCUACGGGAGGCAGCAGUAGGGAAUCUUCCACAAUGGGCGCAAGCCUGAUGGAGCAACACCGCGUGAGUGAAGAAGGGUUUCGGCUCGUAAAGCUCUGUUGUUAAAGAAGAACACGUAUGAGAGUAACUGUUCAUACGUUGACGGUAUUUAACCAGAAAGUCACGGCUAACUACGUGCCAGCAGCCGCGGUAAUACGUAGGUGGCAAGCGUUAUCCGGAUUUAUUGGGCGUAAAGAGAGUGCAGGCGGUUUUCUAAGUCUGAUGUGAAAGCCUUCGGCUUAACCGGAGAAGUGCAUCGGAAACUGGAUAACUUGAGUGCAGAAGAGGGUAGUGGAACUCCAUGUGUAGCGGUGGAAUGCGUAGAUAUAUGGAAGAACACCAGUGGCGAAGGCGGCUACCUGGUCUGCAACUGACGCUGAGACUCGAAAGCAUGGGUAGCGAACAGGAUUAGAUACCCUGGUAGUCCAUGCCGUAAACGAUGAGUGCUAGGUGUUGGAGGGUUUCCGCCCUUCAGUGCCGGAGCUAACGCAUUAAGCACUCCGCCUGGGGAGUACGACCGCAAGGUUGAAACUCAAAGGAAUUGACGGGGGCCCGCACAAGCGGUGGAGCAUGUGGUUUAAUUCGAAGCUACGCGAAGAACCUUACCAGGUCUUGACAUCUUGCGCCAACCCUAGAGAUAGGGCGUUUCCUUCGGGAACGCAAUGACAGGUGGUGCAUGGUCGUCGUCAGCUCGUGUCGUGAGAUGUUGGGUUAAGUCCCGCAACGAGCGCAACCCUUGUUACUAGUUGCCAGCAUUAAGUUGGGCACUCUAGUGAGACUGCCGGUGACAAACCGGAGGAAGGUGGGGACGACGUCAGAUCAUCAUGCCCCUUAUGACCUGGGCUACACACGUGCUACAAUGGACGGUACAACGAGUCGCGAACUCGCGAGGGCAAGCAAAUCUCUUAAAACCGUUCUCAGUUCGGACUGCAGGCUGCAACUCGCCUGCACGAAGUCGGAAUCGCUAGUAAUCGCGGAUCAGCAUGCCGCGGUGAAUACGUUCCCGGGCCUUGUACACACCGCCCGUCACACCAUGAGAGUUUGUAACACCCAAAGUCGGUGGGGUAACCUUUUAGGAGCCAGCCGC
rnacentral:rRNA from 1 species